rnacentral:rRNA from 1 species
GAUGAACGCUAGCGGCAGGCCUAAUACAUGCAAGUCGAACGGUGUCUUCGGACAUAGUGGCGCACGGGUGCGUAACACGUAUGCAACCUACCUUACAUUGGGGGAUAGCCUUUCGAAAGGGAGAUUAAUACCGCAUAAGACAGUAGCUGGGCAUCCAGCAGCUGUUAAAGAUUUAUCGAUGUAAGCUGGGCAUGCGUCCAAUUAGCUAGUUGGUGAGGUAACGGCUCACCAAGGCAAUGAUUGGUAGGGGAACUGAGAGGUCAAUCCCCCACACUGGCACUGAGCUACGGGCCAGACUCCUACGGGAGGCAGCAGUAGGGAAUAUUGGGCAAUGGACGCGAGUCUGACCCAGCCAUGCCGCGUGCAGGAUGAAGGCGUUAUGCGUUGUAAACUGCUUUUAUACAGGAAGAAACGACUCUUGCGAGAGGCAUUGACGGUACUGUAUGAAUAAGCACCGGCUAACUCCGUGCCAGCCGCCGCGGUAAAAC